GGGGAAUUUUCCGCAAUGGGCGAAAGCCUGACGGAGCAAGACCGCGUGAGGGAGGAAGGUUCUUGGAUUGUCAACCCCUUUUCUCAGGGAAGAACACAAUGACGGUACCUGAGGAAAAAGCAUCGGCUAACUCCGUGCCAGCAGCCGCGGUAAUACGGGGGAUGCAAGCGUUAUCCGGAAUGAUUGGGCGUAAAGAGUCCGUAGGUAGUCAUCCAAGUCUGCUGUUAAAGAGCGAGGCUUAACCUCGUAAAGGCAGUGGAAACUGGAAGACUAGAGUGUAGUAGGGGCAGAGGGAAUUCCUGGUGUAGCGGUGAAAUGCGUAGAGAUCAGGAAGAAC
rnacentral:rRNA from 1 species